UGGAAAGAGGAGUGGCGGACGGGUGAGUAACACGUGGGUAACCUACCCAUCRGRGGGGGAUAACACUUGGAAACAGGUGCUAAUACCGCAUAACAGKUUAUGCCGCAUGGCAUAAGAGUGAAAGGCGCUUUCGGGUGUCGCUGAUGGAUGGACCCGCGGUGCAUUAGCUAGUUGGUGAGGUAACGGCUCACCAAGGCCACGAUGCAUAGCCGACCUGAGAGGGUGAUCGGCCACACUGGGACUGAGACACGGCCCAGACUCCUACGGGAGGCAGCAGUAGGGAAUCUUCGGCAAUGGACGRAAGUCUGACCGAGCAACGCCGCGUGAGUGAAGAAGGUUUUCGGAUCGUAAAACUCUGUUGUUAGAGAAGAACAAGGACGUUAGUAACUGAACGUCCCCUGACGGUAUCUAACCAGAAAGCCACGGCUAACUACGUGCCAGCAGCCGCGGUAAUACGUAGGUGGCAAGCGUUGUCCGGAUUUAUUGGGCGUAAAGCGAGCGCAGGCGGUUUCUUAAKUCUGAUGUGAAAGCCCCCGGCUCAACCGGGGAG
rnacentral:rRNA from 1 species